rfam:Schistosoma curassoni strain Dakar, Senegal genome assembly, scaffold: SCTD_scaffold0000774
AUCCAGCUGACGAGCCCCAAAGAGGACGAAACGUGCAUCCUGGAU